UGCUCCUGGCCACACCUCUGGGUUCCUUUUAGGGGGUGCUCCCCAGCACGGUCCCAAAGCUCCAGUCCAAAGUGGCAUUGGUGGCCCUUGUCUAGCCCGAAUCACACCUGGAGGUGCUCAGGGGCCCCUUACGGGAUGCCGAGGAGAACCCGGGUUAGCUGCAAGCAAAGCAAGGUCCCUACCUGCGCCACUACCUCUCCGAGACUGUGUUUCUCUAGCCCGGGGACCUCGUGGCACCACCUCAAGGAAUGGCUGCUACCCCCAUACAAACAAAAGCGUCAUGUGAAGCUGGAAUCCAAGAGAAUGAGCCGCCUCUCUGACAUAAAGCCCCUCACACACCAAGCCGGACUAUUGAUGCCAUGCCUUUCGGACAGGACUUCCCGACCGAGACCUUCCUGCUUAUUCUUUUGGAACUUCUGGAACCAUCCAAACAAGCAG